CGCCGCUUAUGGCCGAGAUGCCGAUCAUCCCCGAUCCUCCGUUGGUCGAAGAGAUCGACUAGGACGGAUGAUCGGCCCUGCCGACUAUCUUUACUUUUUAUUUUUUGAAAAUACAUGUAAUCGGGCUUCGACCCGACUUUGUAAUUUCUCUUCAUCAAUGAAUGAAACUUUCUUCUUUUUCUUCCUGUUUGUAAUGCCGAUUAGUGCUGCGAUGUCGAACUUUAGUCGCUAACCUAAGCAAGUCACCAACCCACGUAAGUCGGUAGGACUUCGAUAACUUGCGCAGCCCCGAAAGUAGAAUGUGUCCCGACUUUAGGUCGGCUU
rnacentral:lncRNA from 1 species